rnacentral:rRNA from 1 species
GGUAUGCUUCUUCGGAAUUAGAGACCGGCGCACGGGUGCGUAACGCGUAUGCAAUCUACCUUUUACAGAGGGAUAGCCCAGAGAAAUUUGGAUUAAUACCUCAUAGUAUUAUGAAAUGGCAUCAUUUUAUAAUUAAAGUCACAACGGUAAAAGAUGAGCAUGCGUCCCAUUAGCUAGUUGGUAAGGUAACGGCUUACCAAGGCUACGAUGGGUAGGGGUCCUGAGAGGGAGAUCCCCCACACUGGUACUGAGACACGGACCAGACUCCUACGGGAGGCAGCAGUGAGGAAUAUUGGACAAUGGGCGCAAGCCUGAUCCAGCCAUGCCGCGUGCAGGAUGACGGUCCUAUGGAUUGUAAACUGCUUUUAUACAGGAAGAAACCCUGGUUCGUGAACCAGCUUGACGGUACUGUAAGAAUAAGGAUCGGCUAACUCCGUGCCAGCAGCCGCGGUAAUACGGAGGAUCCAAGCGUUAUCCGGAAUCAUUGGGUUUAAAGGGUCCGUAGGCGGUUUAGUAAGUCAGUGGUGAAAGCCCAUCGCUCAACGGUGGAACGGCCAUUGAUACUGCUAAACUUGAAUUAUUAGGAAGUAACUAGAAUAUGUAGUGUAGCGGUGAAAUGCUUAGAGAUUACAUGGAAUACCAAUUGCGAAGGCAGGUUACUACUAAUUGAUUGACGCUGAUGGACGAAAGCGUGGGUAGCGAACAGGAUUAGAUACCCUGGUAGUCCACGCCGUAAACGAUGGAUACUAGCUGUUGGGGGCAACUUCAGUGGCUAAGCGAAAGUGAUAAGUAUCCCACCUGGGGAGUACGUUCGCAAGAAUGAAACUCAAAGGAAUUGACGGGGGCCCGCACAAGCGGUGGAGCAUGUGGUUUAAUUCGAUGAUACGCGAGGAACCUUACCAAGGCUUAAAUGUAGUUUGACCGAUUUGGAAACAGAUUUUUCGCAAGACAAAUUACAAGGUGCUGCAUGGUUGUCGUCAGCUCGUGCCGUGAGGUGUCAGGUUAAGUCCUAUAACGAGCGCAACCCCUGUUGUUAGUUGCCAGCGAGUCAUGUCGGGAACUCUAACAAGACUGCCAGUGCAAACUGUGAGGAAGGUGGGGAUGACGUCAAAUCAUCACGGCCCUUACGCCUUGGGC